rnacentral:rRNA from 1 species
UUGUUGGUAAGGUAAAAGCUUACCAAGGCUUCGAUCAGUAGCUGGUCUGAGAGGACGACCAGCCACACUGGGACUGAGACACGGCCCAGACUCCUACGGGAGGCAGCAGUGGGGAAUUUUGGACAAUGGGGGCAACCCUGAUCCAGCCAUGCCGCGUGAGUGAAGAAGGCCUUCGGGUUGUAAAGCUCUUUCAGCCGGAACGAAACGGUUACGGUUAACACCCGUGACUACUGACGGUACCGGAAGAAGAAGCACCGGCUAACUACGUGCCAGCAGCCGCGGUAAUACGUAGGGUGCGAGCGUUAAUCGGAAUUACUGGGCGUAAAGCGUGCGCAGGUGGUUUUGUAAGUCAGAUGUGAAAGCCCCGGGCUCAACCUGGGAACUGCGUUUGAAACUACAAGACUAGAGUGUGGCAGAGGGGGGUGGAAUUCCGCGUGUAGCAGUGAAAUGCGUAGAGAUGUGGAGGAACACCGAUGGCGAAGGCAGCCCCCUGGGUCAACACUGACGCUCAGGCACGAAAGCAUGGGGAGCAAACAGGAUUAGAUACCCUGGUAGUCCAUGCCCUAAGCGAUGUCAACUAGUUGUCGGGCCUUUACGGGCUUGGUAACGUAGCUAACGCGUGAAGUUGACCGCCUGGGGAGUACGAUCGCAAGAUUAAAACUCAAAUGAAUUGACGGGGACCCGCACAAGCGGUGGAUUAUGUGGAUUAAUUCGAUGCGACGCGAAAAACCUUACCUACCCUUGACAUGUAUCGAAGCCCGCAGAAAAGCGGGGGUGCCCGAAAGGGAACGAUAACACAGGUGCUGCAUGGCUGUCGUCAGCUCGUGUCGUGAGAUGUUGGGUUAAGUCCCGCAACGAGCGCAACCCUUGUCAUUAAUUGCCAUCAUUUAGUUGGGCACUUUAAUGAGACUGCCGG